UACGUAGGGUCCGAGCGUUGUCCGGAAUUACUGGGCGUAAAGAGCUCGUAGGUGGUUUGUCGCGUUGUUCGUGAAAACUCACAGCUCAACUGUGGGCGUGCGGGCGAUACGGGCAGACUGGAGUACUGCAGGGGAGACUGGAAUUCCUGGUGUAGCGGUGGAAUGCGCAGAUAUCAGGAGGAACACCGGUGGCGAAGGCGGCGUUCUGGACUGCAACUGACACUGAAAAACGAAAGCCAGGGGAGCAAACGGG
rnacentral:rRNA from 1 species